rnacentral:rRNA from 1 species
CCUACGGGAGGCAGCAGUGAGGAAUAUUGGUCAAUGGGAGAGAUCCUGAACCAGCCAAGCCGCGUGAGGGAAGACGGUCCUAUGGGUUGUAAACCUCUUUUGUCGGAGAACAAAACCCGGGACGUGUCCCGGACUGCGUGUAUCCGAAGAAAAAGCAUCGGCUAACUCCGUGCCAGCAGCCGCGGUAAUACGGAGGAUGCGAGCGUUAUCCGGAUUUAUUGGGUUUAAAGGGUGCGCAGGCGGUCCAUUAAGUCAGCGGUAAAAUUGCGGGGCUCAACCCCGUCGAGCCGUUGAAACUGGCAGACUGGAGUGGGCGAGAAGUACGCGGAAUGCGCGGUGUAGCGGUGAAAUGCAUAGAUAUCGCGCAGAACUCCGAUUGCGAAGGCAGCGUACCGGCGCCAGACUGACGCUGAGGCACGAAAGCGUGGGGAUCGAACAGGAUUAGAUACCCGAGUAGUC